AUUAAAAAGAAAUCGAAAAUAGAGAAGAAAAGAAUAAAAGUAAUGGUUGGAUAGCCUGUCUGUUCCUUUCAACUGACCCCUGGACCACUCUGAUUCUUCAGAGUUAAAUAGUUCCCUCGGUUGGUUCCAGAAUGGAGAAAAAGAAAAUGAUAACCCCAGAUACUGUGGUGGCAGUGCAAAUGGUUUCUAAUUAAAAAAUCAUUCGAUUUGUGAUUCUUUUUUGUUAAGCAAGAUCGGAUGACGUAAAUAUUCUCUUAAAAUAGAUAAAAACAUCAGAAAAUAUUUUAUCAUACGAUAAAUUCGUUUUAUCGAUAAUAUUCAUGAAUUUUUCAAAUACGUUGUUUAAAUCAAUUCUGUUGAUGGCGCAAUGUGGUAUCAUAACGGAGGUCUAUUUUAAUUACCGUUAAUGAGUGUUCCCGUCAUUAAAGUAUAUUUUCUAUACUAGUAUAUAUUCAAAACAGUUGAAUAUGCGAAGUGACAAUCAUAAAGAAGAGUUUUAUUGAUCGUAAAGGUAUAUUGGUUAUAUUUUAUGCAGUUUGGACCGAGGAAGUUGAAAUGGAACUCGUCUUUCUAGCGAUCGUUUCAUGCCAACACGCUUAGGAACCAUCGUAUUACAAUAGCACAUGUAGUUGACAAACAUGGGAGCGGCAUAUUGGGUCGAUGGCAAAAAGAAUAAAAAAAAAAAAAAAAA